CUACCUCUUCCCAUUCCGAACAGAGCAGUCAAGCCCGCCAGAGCCGAUGGUACUGCCGUAACAGGUGGGAGAGUAGGUCGGUGCCGAUC
rnacentral:rRNA from 1 species